AUGUUGUUAUCAAGCAGUUUGAGCAGCAUGAGGCUGCUGCCACCGACAGCAGGGCUGGUGAUGGUACCGAGGCUAAUGUUUUUGAUCACGAAACGAAUGAUGUUGGCUUGGAGCGUCCUGAUGUUGAUGGGAAUUGAUCAGGAUGAGGCUGCUGGCACCGAUAGUAGGGCUGAUGAUGGUACCGAGGCUAAUGUUUCUGAUCAGCAUACGAACGAUGUUGGCUUGCAGCACCAUGUUGUUGAUGAGACGAGUCAUAAUGUUGAGGCUGCUGUUGACCAUGGAGUUAAUGAUCCAUCGACUGAUAAGUGCAAGGGUCCUAUUGUUGGCGAUGAGCCUUGUUUGCUUGUUGGUGAUGUUGCUUUGAAUGUUAGCAGCACCAAGUUCGAUGAUGUUGCUGUGAAUGCUUCCAAGGUUUAUUUUUCUGUGCACCUCUUGGUAGAUUACUGA
rnacentral:rRNA from 1 species